rnacentral:rRNA from 1 species
GNCGACCGUNUCCGAAAAGCUCGGCGCCCGCGCACGACGCGUCAGUCNNGCGNACUCUGACCGCGGCGUCCGGCUCCGCGGCGAGUAGAUCGGCGACCCGUCCGACCCGUCUUGAAACACGGACCAAGGAGUCUAACAUGUGCGCGAGUGAUUGGGUGUCGACGAGACCCAGACGCACAAUGAACGUGAAGGCCCGGACCGCCGGGCCGAGGGGUGAUCCCGUCCGCGCGCGGGCGGGCGCAGCCCCGGGACGCGCCGAUCGCAUCGCCGACGGCUCGUACCCCGAGCGUACACGUUGGGACCCGAAAGAUGGUGAACUAUGCCUGGCCAGGACGAAGUCAGAGGAAACUCUGAUGGAGGUCCGUAGCGAUUUUGACGUGCAAAUCAAUCGUCCGAGCUGGGUAUAGGGGCGAAAGACUAAUCGAACCAUCUAGUAGCUGGUUCCAUCCGAAGUUUCCCUCAGGAUAGCUGGCGCUCGCAUGACCGAGUUUCAUCCGGUAAAGCGAAUGAUUAGAGGCCUUGGGGCCGAAACGAUCUCAACCUAUUCUCAAACUUUAAAUGGGUGAGAAGUCGGGCUUGCUCGACUGAAGCACCGACCCUCGAAUCGAGAGUGCCAAGUGGGCCACUUUUGGUAAGCAGAACUGGCGCUGUGGGAUGAACCAAACGCAGAGUUAAGGUGCCCGAGAGAACGCUCAUCAGAUCCCAUGAAAGGUGUUGGUUGCUAUAGACAGCAGGACGGUGGCCAUGGAAGUCGGAAUCCGCUAAGGAGUGUGUAACAACUCACCUGCCGAAGCAACUAGCCCUGAAAAUGGAUGGCGCUCAAGCGUUCCACCUAUACUCUGCCGUCGGUGCAACGGCGCGG